GUAGUCUGCAACUCGACUACAUGAAGCUGGAAUCGCUAGUAAUCGCGGAUCAGAAUGCCGCGGUGAAUACGUUCCCGGGUCUUGUACACACCGCCCGUCACACCAUGGGAGUCGGAAAUGCCCGAAGUCUGUGACCCAACCUUAGGGAGGGAGCAGCCGAAGGCAGGUCGGAUGACUGGGGUGAAGUCGUAACAAGGUAUC
rnacentral:rRNA from 1 species